AGGAGAAAGAAAGUCAUACAGCUUUUAGAACAAGGAUAGGGUUUCACCUGAGAGAUGUUGUCAAUCAACAUUUGUUACCGGAGCAUGCCAUCAGUGAAAUCUGAGCAAUCCAGAGAACAAGAGAAAAAGAAACAGUGCAAGAGGAGUCUUGAAACCUCCCACAAUCAAGCCUCUCACGUUGUGUGUAUGCGUGUUAAAAUCUGAGGCAGCAGUUUCAAUGUUAAGUCUCAUUCUCAAACUGCUGGCUUGUGUACUGGUUGCCAUGCUGACUGAAACAACAAAUAUUUGGAGCUAUGUAGCACCUUCUAACAAAAUUCCAAACUCAAAUGAUUUGGAAAGUUCCACUGUCUUUCUCUUCAGCCCCUCUUUCCUCCGCUCCCCUUUCUUUUCUUCUCCUCAGCAGAAUAGUGUCUUUGUCUCCUGGAAGUGAACUUGAAAACAGCGUUGAGAAUUCAACUUCAUCAGUGUUGCUAUGUGCUGUUAAUUGUGUCUUGGAAACCCAAUGAAACCCAGUGGCGACCUGAUCUGGAUGCAUUCCAUCUAUUGUGUGGUGCACAGGAGUGAUGUUGGCUGGCUUAUUGGACAUUAUGUAACUAUUGUCAAUUAGUUCAUGCUCAGACAUACACAGAAAUACAUAUACACACCCUUGCCAUAUGAUAUAUGUACUAUUUAGACAUAUUUACACAUUCAACACACGCUUCCUCUCUUGACCAUUUAUGGAAACUGACUGCAGAAACAGACCUCUUCAGUAAUCGCCAUAAUUAUGAUGUCAAAAGCUUGAACAUGUUAGCUU